rnacentral:rRNA from 1 species
GACGAACGCUGGCGGCGUGCUUAACACAUGCAAGUCGAACGGUAAGGCCUUCGGGUACACGAGUGGCGAACGGGUGAGUAACACGUGGGUGAUCUGCCCCCUACUCUGGGAUAAGCCUGGGAAACUGGGUCUAAUACCGGAUAUGACCUCCUUCUGCAUGGUUGGUGGUGGAAAGUUUUUUCGGUAGGGGAUGAGCCCGCGGCCUAUCAGCUUGUUGGUGGGGUAAUGGCCUACCAAGGCGACGACGGGUAGCCGGCCUGAGAGGGCGACCGGCCACACUGGGACUGAGACACGGCCCAGACUCCUACGGGAGGCAGCAGUGGGGAAUAUCGCACAAUGGGCGAAAGCCUGAUGCAGCGACGCCGCGUGGGGGAUGACGGCCUUCGGGUUGUAAACCCCUUUCAGUCGGGACGAAGCGGGAGUGACGGUACCGAUAGAAGAAGCACCGGCCAACUACGUGCCAGCAGCCGCCGUAAAAC